UACGGAGGAUGCAAGCGUUAUCCGGAUUUAUUGGGUUUAAAGGGUGCGUAGGCUGGAAAAUAAGUCAGUGGUGAAAUCCUACGGCUUAACUGUAGAAUUGCCGUUGAUACUGUUUUUCUUGAGUAUGGUCAAGGAAGGCGGAAUGUGUAAUGUAGCGGUGAAAUGCUUAGAUAUUACACAGAACACCAAUUGCGAAGGCAGCUUUCUGGCCCAUUACUGACGCUGAGGCACGAAAGCGUGGGGAUCGAACAGGAUUAGAUACCCUGGUA
rnacentral:rRNA from 1 species